GACGAACGCUGGCGGCGUGCUUAACACAUGCAAGUCGUACGGUAAGGCCCUUUCGGGGGUACACGAGUGGCGAACGGGUGAGUAACACGUGCGUAACCUGCCCACAACUUUGGGAUAACGCUAGGAAACUGGUGCUAAUACUGGCUAUGUGCCCCUGCCGCAUGGUGGGGGUUGGAAAGCUCCGGCGGUUGUGGAUGGACUCGCGGCCUAUCAGCUUGUUGGUGGGGUAGUGGCCUACCAAGGCGGCGGCGGGUAGCCGGCCUGGGAGGGUGACCGGCCACAUUGGGACUGGGGUACGGCCCAGGCUCCUACGGGAGGCAGCAGUGGGGAAUAUUGCACAAUGGGCGCAAGCCUGAUGCAGCAACGCCGCGUGCGGGAUGACGGCCUUCGGGUUGUAAACCGCUUUCAGCAGGGACGAAGCUUUUUGUGACGGUACCUGCAGAAGAAGCACCGGCUAACUACGUG
rnacentral:rRNA from 1 species